CACUUAAAACUAGUCGGCGUAAGUGUAUAUAAAGGCGUCCGAGAUCUCGAUUCCGGCAUAACACAUCUUUUUGUGCAGAUCUAUUCUUUGUUUUCACUUUAAUCCUCAAAAACCAACCAACAAAUCAAAAAUGGGCGCUGAAAAAGUAUCCAUGAACAUCGUUGUCGUCGGACAAGUCCAAUCUGCCAAGGCCAUCAAAUCGGUCGCCAAAGCCACCCCAGCCACCAACCAAUUGAUGAACUGUUAAUUCUAAAAGCCCACAUCAAUCUCAAACUCAAAAAUGACAUAGCCCAAACAGUACAUAGUUCUAUAACAUGUAUUAUAAGUUAUAACAUUGUGUAUUGACAUUAAAAAAUAAAUCAGUCUCUUCUGUCAAUUAA